UUCCAAACUUAUAACUUUAAUGUGUUUCAUAUAGUCAAUCCAUUAUAGUAACAGUGAAGGAGUAGGAAAAAAGCAUAACUUCUUUUAGGAAAUUUUGAGCAGCUCUUUCAAACAUUACUGAAAUACAACAGGGCUAAAGUUCUGAAUUUGUAACUCAUAAUGUUAAAUUAAGUCAAUUAAACCAAUUAAGUCAAGAAAAGUAAUGAGAAUCUACACUGGUAUAACUUUAUUCCUGAAAAAUACAGGAAUUACUGGAACAUGCAAACACAAAAUACACUGCUGUGUUUUCAAGAUUUCUUUAUACCACAAAUGGGCAUUUUUAAAUUACAGCAGAAAGCACUGCAGUAAUUGGCAUGACCAAGGUACAGUUAGCUCAGUACUUUGUAUUCAAUAAUGUUUAUAGCUAGAACUUCUUCCACUUCGAAAACUAUGCCUAAAAAGGAAUUCUCUUUGAAGACUAAAGGAAUUUAAUUAAAGAUAAAGCCACUUGGGUGGCCACAGAACACAUCAAACAGAUCAUAGUUCAAACUUCAAGCAGAAUUAUUACUAUUCAGUUACAAAAGCAUGACUCAUAGGAAUAUAAAUGAAGAGUCAUGUUUUUUUCUGUGUACAUCAACUUAGAUCCAGAAAUUCACGUUAAAAUUUAGUGCUAUCACAUUUGCUCAUUAUAUACAUUUCAGCUUC
rnacentral:lncRNA from 1 species